UACGUAGGCAGCAAGCGUUGUUCGGAAUUACUGGGCGUAAAGAGUGUGUAGGCGGUGUUCCAAGUCUGGUGUGAAAUCUCCCGGCUUAACUGGGAGGGUGCAUUAGAAACUGGAAUGCUAGAGGAUGGGAGAGGUAAGCGGAAUUCCUGGUGUAGCGGUGAAAUGCGUAGAUAUCAGGAGGAACACCGGUGGUGUAGACGGCUUUCUGGACCGUAACUGACGCUGAGACACGAAAGCGUGGGUAGCAAACAGG
rnacentral:rRNA from 1 species